rnacentral:misc_RNA from 1 species
GGCAAUAGUAUCCAGCCUGCUGACUUAAUGGUGCAAUUGGAGUAACCACCUGAGUCUUUCCUAACCGAGAUUCGAGGUCCACUUGAUAAUCUCUUGGUUUCAAGGGCUUCCUCUGCACUGGAGGUCCUUUUGACUUUGAUUUCCGACCAUCAGCCUCCUCUUCAUCGCGUUCACGAGCACGCUGCAAAAUCUCUUCUCUGUCGAACUUUUUUCGAGAAGUAUUAUCAACUCCAACAACAUGAUUGCUGGAUUGAUCCAUUGCUUGGGGAAUUGGACCAGUUGCUGGGACCGCUAGUUGAGAACAACUUGUGGAAUCGACAGAGAAUUACAAGGCCCGACCACGAAAAUGAAUGAAGAAUUGUAAAAACCCUAGGUUCGAUUUUGUGUUCAACAAAG